rnacentral:rRNA from 1 species
AGGAUGAACGCUGACAGAAUGCUUAACACAUGCAAGUCGACUGGAAUUCUUCUUCGGAAGAUAGUACGGUGGCGGACGGGUGAGUAACGCGUAAAGAAUUUGCCCUUCAGACUGGGACAACUAACCGAAAGGUUAGCUAAUACCGGAUAUUAUGACAACUCGGCAUCGAGAAGUUAUGAAAGCUAUAUGCGCUGGAGGAGAACUUUGCGUCCCAUUAGGUAGUUGGUAGGGUAAUGGCCUACCAAGCCGACGAUGGGUAGCCGGCCUGAGAGGGUGAACGGCCACAAGGGGACUGAGACACGGCCCUUACUCCUACGGGAGGCAGCAGUGGGGAAUAUUGGACAAUGGACCAAAAGUCUGAUCCAGCAAUUCUGUGUGCACGAUGAAGGUCUUCGGAUUGUAAAGUGCUUUCAGUGGGGAAGAAGAAAGUGACGGUACCCACAGAAGAAGCGACGGCUAAAUACGUGCCAGCAGCCGCGGUAAUACGUAUGUCGCAAGCGUUAUCCGGAAUUAUUGGGCGUAAAGCGAGUCUAGGCGGCUUGUUAAGUCAGAUGUGAAAAUGCGGGGCUCAACUCCGUAUUGCGUUUGAAACUGGCAAGCUAGAGUACUGGAGAGGUGGGCGGAACUACAAGUGUAGAGGUGAAAUUCGUAGAUAUUUGUAGGAAUGCCGAUAGUGAAGACAGCUCACUGGACAGAUACUGACGCUAAAGCUCGAAAGCGUGGGGAGCGAACAGGAUUAGAUACCCUGGUAGUCCACGCCGUAAACGAUGUUCACUGGGUGUAGGGGGUCGAACCUCUGUGCCGAAGCUAACGCGAUAAGUGAACCGCCUGGGGAGUACGCACGCAAGUGUGAAACUCAAAGGAAUUGACGGGGACCCGCACAAGCGGUGGAGCAUGUGGUUUAAUUCGACGCAACGCGAGGAACCUUACCAGCACUUGACAUACAACGAACUCGUCAAAAAUGACUUGGUGCCGCUUCGGUGGAACGUUGAUACAGGGGGGGCAUGGGCUGUCGUCAGCUCGG